rnacentral:rRNA from 1 species
AGCAGCAGCCGCGGUAAUACGAAGGGUGCAAGCGUUAAUCGGAAUUACUGGGCGUAAAGCGUGCGUAGGCGGUUUGUUAAGUCUGUUGUGAAAUCCCCGGGCUCAACCUGGGAAUGGCAAUGGAUACUGGCAAGCUAGAGUGUGUCAGAAGAUGGUGGAAUUCCCGGUGUAGCGGUGAAAUGCGUAGAGAUCGGGAGGAACAUCAGUGGCGAAGGCGGCCAUCUGGGACAACACUGACGCUGAGGCACGAAAGCGUGGGGAGCAAACAGGAUUAGAUACCCCCGUAGUCCCUGUCUCUUAUAC